GAGUUUGAUCUUGGCUCAGAUUGAACGCUGGCGGCAUGCCUUACACAUGCAAGUCGAACGGCAGCAUGAUCUAGCUUGCUAGAUUGAUGGCGAGUGGCGAACGGGUGAGUAAUACAUCGGAACGUGCCCUGUAGUGGGGAUAACUAGUCGAAGAUUAGCUAAUACCGCAUACGACCUGAGGGUGGAAAGUGGGGGACCGGCAAGGCCUCAUGCUAUAGGAGCGGCCGAUGUCUGAUUAGCUAGUUGGUGGGGUAAAGGCCGACCAAGGCGACGAUCAGUAGCUGGUCUGAGAGGACGAUCAGCCACACUGGGACUGAGACACGGCCCAGACUCCUACGGGAGGC
rnacentral:rRNA from 1 species